rnacentral:lncRNA from 1 species
AAGAAAUGGUGCAUAUGUUAUUUACCAUGUCCUGAUUGCUCAAAUCAUGCAUCCAAUUAGAUAUCUGAUGGUAAUAAAUAGACUUCUAAGGUCAUUUGGCAUGUAAGAUGUGCUACUUGUGCAAUGCCCACUGUGCACUGGAGGCAGGGUAGUAACCUCCUUCGGAGUUUUACGGACAUGGAAAAUUUCUCCCUGCAUCCCUUUAUUUUUGAGGGCCAUAUGUCCUGUUUUAUCUUUU